UCCUACACAUUGCAAGUACGGAUCACACCCUGUAACUAUCCAUUCCAACUCUGCACUAACCGACAAGUCCAACUUCACCUGCACGUACCAUUCCCUGCCAACCUGUGAGGGAUGUCUGCUCUACACGGUCGACAGCAGAACCAACAAUAAUUUAAUCCACAUUAUGAACAUUGAUGAGCCAAAAACCAUUGCAGAGGUCGAAAGCUAUCGGGCAUUUUACCUCAUGGCUAAAGAAAACGAUAUCAAGCACCACGAACUGGCACAUGCCAUGAAGCAGGCGAGGUGUCUUGGUUUCACAGGAGAACCAGACUUCAUCUAUGACCCCA